CCCAGGUUUUCUCGGGAGAAUCUGAUUUCACUUCCUAGGUUUUUCUCGGGGAGAAUCUGAUUUCACUUCCCAGAUUUUCUCAGGGAGAAUCUGAUUUCUCUUCCCGGGUUUUCUCGGGGAGAAUCUGAUUUCACUUCCCAGGUUUUCUCAGGGAAAAUCUGAUUUCACUUCCCGGGUUUUCUUGGGGAGAAUCUGAUUUCACUUCCCAGCUUUUCUCGGGGAGAAUCUGAUUUCUCUUCCCAGGUUUUCUUGGGGUGACUCUGAUUUCACUUCCCACGUUUUCUCGGGGAGAAUCUGAUUUCACUUCCCAGGGUUUCUUGGGGAGAAUCUGAUUUCUCUUCCCAGGUUUUCUUGGGGAGAAUCCGAUUUCACUUCCCAGGUUUUCUUGGGGAGAAUCUGAUUUCAAUUCCUAGGUUUUCUCAGGGAGAAUCUGAUUUCUCUUCCCAGGUUUUCUCAGGGAGAAUCUGAUUUCACUUCCUAGGUUUUCUUGGGGAGAUUCUGAUUUCACUUCCCAGAUUUUCUCAGGGAGAAUCUGAUUUCACUUCCCAGCUUUUCUCGGGGAGAAUCUGAUUUCACUUCCCAGGGUUUCUUGGGGAGAAUCUGAUUUCAAUUCCUAGGUUUUCUCAGGGAGAAUCUGAUUUCACUUCCCAGCUUUUCUCGGGGAGAAUCUGAUUCAGGUUUUCUCGGGGAGAAUCUGAUUUCACUUCCCAGAUUUUCUCAGGGAGAAUCUGAUUUCACUUCCCAGGGUUUCUUGGGGAGAAUCUGAUUUCACUUCCAGGUUUUUCUCGGGGAGAAUCUGAUUUCACUUCCCAGGUUUUCUUGGGGAGACUCUGAUUUCACUUCCCAGGUUUUCUUGGGGAGACUCUGAUUUCACUUCCCAGGUUUUCUUGGGGAGAAUCUGAUUUCACUUCCCAGGUUUUCUUGGGGAGAAUCUGAUUUCACUUCCCAGGUUUUCUUGGGGAGAAUCUGAUUUCACUUCCCAGGUUUUCUUGGGGAGAAUCUGAUUUCACUUCCCAGGUUUUCUUGGGGAGAAUCUGAUUUCACUUCCCAGGUUUUCUUGGGGAGAAUCUGAUUUCACUUCCCAGGUUUUCUUGGGGAGAAUCUGAUUUCACUUCCCAGGUUUUCUUGGGGAGAAUCUGAUUUCACUUCCCAGGUUUUCUUGGGGAGAAUCUGAUUUCACUUCCCAGGUUUUCUUGGGGAGAAUCUGAUUUCACUUCCCAGGUUUUCUUGGGGAGAAUCUGAUUUCACUUCCCAGGUUUUCUUGGGGAGAAUCUGAUUUCACUUCCCAGGUUUUCUUGGGGAGAAUCUGAUUUCACUUCCCAGGUUUUCUUGGGGAGAAUCUGAUUUCACUUCCCAGGUUUUCUUGGGGAGAAUCUGAUUUCACUUCCCAGGUUUUCUUGGGGAGAAUCUGAUUUCACUUCCCAGGUUUUCUCGGGGAGAAUCUGAUUUCACUUCCCAGGUUUUCUUGGGGAGAAUCUGAUUUCACUUCCCAGGUUUUCUCAGGGAGAAUCUGAUUUCACUUCCCAGGUUUUCUCAGGGAGAAUCUGAUUUCACUUCCCACAUUAAUAAUAAAAAAAUAGGUGAUCAAACACUCCUAAUGUAGAACUUUGCGUUAGCGUCCUAGGGUGUAUCCGUGAGUGGGUUCUAUAGAACUCCUUACUAAUAAAACAUAACGGAGAAAUAAAGGAAUCUCAACACCACAGGGAAGUUUUGUGUGAUUAACUGUCUACAUGUUUCGGCUUGCUAUAUUGGUCCUGAUAAUUGCCGCAUAGCAAGCCGAAACAUGUAGACAGUAAUUAAAUCACACAAAACGUCCUUGUGGUGUUGAGAUUCCUUUAUUUCUCGAUUAUACUUCCCACAUUAAAAACCCCUGCAAGCUAACAUUUGGGCCAACAAGAGUAAUAAAUAUAAGUUAAAAUAUUUUGUUUCAUAAUCAUUAUAAAAUUUUGUUUAAUACAGAUAAGGAAAAUCAGAUUGCAAGGUCAACACUUGUAAUAUUAUUGAGAAUUGUUUUGCUGCCCUACCUUAAUUGAUCUUGAAAAUGAUCAGGAAAUAAACCAUUUAAAAUAAUUUGAAUAGGAGAUGAAAUAGCAAGUGUAACCUGUCAUUACAAUUUAGUUUUAUUUUUAAUAUUCAUGAAUCUUACAAAUUUUUAAGUUAUUUUAUUUGUUCUGGUGUAAUAUUCAUUUGAGAUUUUUUCUUCAAUUCUCAAGUUCUUAAUCCAUGUACAUUUAUGAAAGAUGAUAUUCAAACAAAAAUCCAUGUAAUGAUACCUUUGUGCUUCAUUUUCAUUAAUUAGUUUUAUACAUUUUUACAUGUGACAUUCUGAUAGGGCAAACCAGAUGGGCUUUGAAUGAAUUGGAUGAAAUUGUGUAUGAAGAUAUCUAUCACUAAUUCAUUAAGCAUUAAUCUUGUGAUAGUUUUUUUUCAAUAUCUAUUUUACUACAAAUCUGUUUUUUAGGUGUAGGUUCCCUUUGUCCGUAUAUGUGGUACCUGUUUGAUGUUCAGAUUUAAUGGAUAAAUAAAGUGGCUGCCAAGCAACCAUCUUGGAUUUUGAUCGUUAAAGUUUGGUGUCGCCAUUUCUCAGCAGGUCAUUGAAAGGUCUCUCUGGUCUGUCAUGACAUAUGUCAGGGGGUGGCAGAGAAUGUGUGCAUGCAUUACCUCUGUAGUAUCAAGGAUUCCUAGACCAAGACCUAGGCCCCCUUUUGCAUACCAGUUCAACCAGUUUGUCUGUUUUAAAAUGUAACAUUUUCAGGUAUUAAUCCUGGCAGACCUGCAAAUGUUAAUGCAGGCCUUGCAAGGUUUUGUCAAUGCUCGCCUGACAGCAGCAUCAGAUUACUAGCUCGGACCUAAUUUCAUUGGUGAACUCGCGUCCUACUGGUUCAACCGUUUGGAUCGCGAUAAACGAAUGCGGCCCUAGAUUUCAGAACCAAGGCAACUGCAAUCGAGUUAAAUGACAUUGUGGUAUUGGUGGUCAAGACUAAUUUCUUAACAGUUUUAGAAACUUCAUAGACGAAUGUAUCACAAUUGGGUAUUGUAUCAGGAAUUGUUCAUAUACAUACCCCAUAUGGACAAAGUGAGGUCAGCGUUGGGUAUUUUGAACCAUUGUUAGGUUUGAUUGCACUAGAAGAACUGAAUAUGAAAAAAUGCAUUUGUUAAUCUUUUUUAUGAUGUAAAUGGUUCGAUAAAAGGCAGAUAUUUAUAAAUCUUAACUUAUGUAAGUUAUACAUGUUCGUGCAAAUCAAGUUUUAUAGGCGACUUGUUUCAAUAUCUGAAGCAAUAUGAAUUAUUUUAUGUUGAAAUUAAAAAAACUCAACACACAUCUAAAUUGUCUCCCUUUUCUUAGCUGACGUUUAAAAUAUCCUUUCCUCUACAGACUCAGAAAUAUUAGUUGUCUGCCAAAUAAAUUGCAAUACGAGUUUUUAUAGUGAAAUUGUAUUAUGACGUUAAUAUUUUUAUCGUAUUAAAAAUAGCACUUAUUAUUCAAAGUAAACUGGUCAAUAUAGAGAAAUAGAUAUGGAAAUAUUUAGCCUUGUGAUUUGAUUAAUAUUGUAAUAAAAAGGCUGAGUCAACCCACCAUUGGCAAGGAAAUCCUUUAUUUUCAAACGAACUAGUGCUUAGCUUUUUGUAACAUAAAAGAUGAAAGAGAUGGGUCCUACAUUCUUUGUACAGUAUAUAAUAUUACUAUAUAGUACAUGUACAAGGUAAUUAAAUGGUUGAUGUAUGUAAUUGGGCAUUAGUUGAUUUCAAUAUACUGUAUUACCAACAAUAAGCAUCCUUCCCUAGUCUUUUUUUAUUUAAAACAUACCUGCUCCAUUACAUUCAUGGCCUUUGUCGGAGGGUUGCCAGAUACUGGCCGCUGAUUGAUGGUAUUUCUGUCAGCAAUGUCAUUUUCCUGGCACAUCCUCAUCUGAACAUAGCUGUUGUUAGGUCAUAAAACACAAACAAACAUUCAGGGCCCACUCUGGGCAACCUGUCUUUAGAUAUUUUUUAUAUUUUUACUGGUUCAAAAAGGACUUUGUUCCACAACUGUUUCUUAACCUAGAUUUUUCUUUAACUUGAGCAUUGUUUUCCAUAUUGGGAAAAUAUGUUGAAGCAAAAACAUCUUAGUUCAGAUUAUAUGUUAAACAGGAAUCUUGUUGCUUAAUACAUCGAGUAUAGUAAUAUAUUACGUAUAUGCCACAGAGAUAGGCAAGUAACUACACAUCUUAAUUUGUAUGUAUUGAUUUUUUCCCGACAAGCAAUUAACGUUGUGAUUUGAAAUGUAAAUUAAGAAAAAAUAAGUAUUAAUAUAAAGAAAUAUUAUUUAUUCUUGGUACUAUACAUAAUGACUCAACAUAUGCUCUCCAUGUGCUAUUACAUCUGAGCAAUAGAUUCAUUUUGAUUAUUAUAGAAAGUUUGAGAAAAUCAUCUGAAGAAGUCUUAAAUAUAUUUUAAAGCAACGGAGAGAUUGAACACAUGCAUUGUUGAUCUAUAUACGUCAUACAAGUGUGAUUGAACACAUGCAUUGUUGAUCUAUAUACGUCAUACAAGUGUGCUUUAUUGCAUGCAUGUUAAAAGUUGUUCAAGUAUUAAGACUACAAGAUCUGGCUGGCCUGGUGUUAAUAAAAAUAAUCAGAUGCUCAAAUUCUGAUUAUGUGCUCAAUUUUGUUUCCUAGUAUAGGUCAGUAAUUGCUUUUGAAAUUUUCAUACAAUUUGUUUAUAUAAUAGUUUAAAAAAUAUUUUAUUUCCAAUUUGUUCCGCAACUCAUAGUAUGAAGAGGAUUGGAAAAUAACCUAAAAGCUGAUACUAAGUUUAUAUAAUAAUUGAGACUUAAAAUUUACGUCCUUGUUCAGUGAAAAGAAGUUCUGGGUACUUGUGAUGUGGGGCUUUUGUUUGAGCAUUUGAUUGUUUUUAUGAAUACAAGGCCGUUUUGUAAAUGUUAAAAACCCUGCAAUGAAAAUGUUACCGUUUAUUGUUAUUCCUCAAGGUUGUGUGUAAACAGUGGAGCCUCGUUAAUCUGAACUCAGAUUUCUCUAUUGUUGUUAUACUUAGUGGGACUAAAAUAUUCCAAUGCAGAUACCAGAUGUAUAGGGGUAUAAUAUAGAUUCAGGUAUCCUAAUUAAAUCUUCAUUAUUUCCAUGCUACAUAAAGGAAUAUCAUCGGUCGCAUCCUUCAUGUCAUUCUAUCAUUGCAAAUAAAAGACAAGACUUUAUGUGGCAACUUAAAUUGUGACUCUUCAUAAUGUUGCACAGCCAUGGGCUGUUCCCUAUGACUGUUCUAUGUGCAGUUGACAUUUUUACAUUGGAGUGUAGUACUAUUAUAGAAACUCAAUAUUUAAAAAUCAAUCGUAAGAAUUGUUGAGAAAAUAACGUUGAAACACGACUAUCAAAAUGCAAUGAUUUGUUUAGUACCGUUCAUGAAUCUAUUGAAUUAGUGAAGGGGGGUAACUCCAUUUCUCACUCCUUUCAUUCUAACGAAUGUUUCCAAGUACGAGGUUCUGCUGUUUGCCUUCAUAUUACUCUUGUUUUACAUACAGUAUAAAUUGUUUUACCAGUUAUGCUAUUGCUAUUGAUAUGCUACCACUAUUUUGAUGAAUAAAACUCGCUUAUAAUUCA
rnacentral:lncRNA from 1 species